rnacentral:rRNA from 1 species
GACGAACGCUGGCGGUGUGCUUAACACAUGCAAGUGGUGCGACGAACCAGAGCUUGCUCUGGGCAAAGCCGCGAACGGGUGAGUAACACGUGGGUAAUCUACCCCGAUGACCGGGACAACCCGAGGAAACUCGGGCUAAUACCGGAUGUGGUGUACAGGCUUAAGCCUGUCCACUAAAGGUAGCUUCGGCUUCCGCAUUGGGAGGGCCCGCGGCCCAUUAGCUUGUUGGUGGGUCAAGGCCUACCAAGGCAACGAUGGGUAGCUGGUCUGAGAGGACGAUCAGCCACACUGGGACUGAGACACGGCCCAGACUCCUACGGUGGCUG